rnacentral:misc_RNA from 1 species
CAGGCCAUAGCCCUGCACAGGAGGGAUCACACUUGAAGUUUGUGACAGAAUAAAAUUAACUAUACUUUAAUACUUCUCUCUAUCAGCUUAAGCUUUUGAAGUUUGUAAUUAUUUGAAUGGGCAAGUGGCAUUUUGGGAAGAUAUUAUUCAGUUGCACAAGUUGCAUAUUCUCAUUGUUCAGUUAUUGAAGGAUGGUGGAUGUGAAAAAUAUGGCCAUUG